rnacentral:lncRNA from 1 species
CCCCUAUCUGCGCUGUUCCAUGGGCUACAGCUAUGUUCUCAGUUUGCUUGGCAUAUAUUUUAUGAAGUGAUCAGGGGUGCAAAAGUCAGCUAGUCUAUAUGUGCAUAUGUGUAUAAAUCAUCUCAAAAUACAAUGUUGAGGUAGAUCCCAACUCCUCGAACACUAGUUUAGCAGAAUGUCCAUGUGCUAGAAUGCCAAGAUUUUUACUACAGUGACAAGGGCACUUUUGACAAUGUAUUUGUUAUGUUUAGUUAUGAACUUCGCACAUUUAUCCCAUGCAGGAGGAUGGAGAGAUGUGGUUAUGGAAUUUAUGGCUGUCCUUGAGACUCACUCUCUGCAUCUCCACUUACAGCGUCAUCCAGCAGGCGUCACUUCUCUUGUCUUCUCAUAGAGGAGCAUUGGGGAUGAGACACACAUGCACAGUAAGGGAGUGCCGUUUUCCUCCAAUCAAAUGCUCUCUAGGAUAGACAUUCAGAGUAGGCAGGGCCGAUAGUCAGGUCACUGACGCCUGGGUGCAAUAAAAAUGUCUUGCCCCCCAGGUGAGUUUGACUACAUCCAUUUUCUAUAGAAACUACUGCACCUCUUUGGGCCCCCCAACUUCACCAGGUAACAUGUCACCAACUUCCUGAUGUCCCAGCUUUGCCCCCAAAAAGCUUAUCAAUGCCAUCUUUGUGCCCACCUUCCCAGUGCCGUCUCUGUCCCCAUACAGUUUCUCAGUGCCAUCUGUGUCCCAAAAUAGCUAAAUAGUGACAUAUUUGUGUUCAAAUAGCUUAUUGGUGUCAUCUUUGCCAAAUAGCUCAUCAGUGCCAGGGGCAGAUCCAAAACUAAUCACAUAAAUGGUACUGGUAGUGGGCUGUGGUAGGGUGAUAGGGGCUGUAAUUGAGGAGUUAGGGGGGUAGGGGCUGUAGUAGGAGACAGGGGCCGUAGCUGGAAGAAAUGGGAUGAUGCGGGGAGGUAGGGACUGUAGUAAGAGGGUUAAGGGCUGUAGUGGAGGACAGGGGCUGUAGUUGGAGGAAAAGGGAUUAUGUGGGUAUGGACUGUAGUAGAAGGAUUAGGGGCUGUAGUGGAGGGUAUGGGUUUUAAGAGGGUUCAUUUAGUAAUUUUAGUAGUUUUAGGAGUCCAUUAAUAUAGUGUCUUGCAAUUGUGACAUGUGGUUUCCUAACUAUCCAAAUUAAAUCAUAUAUGCAUUUUGGCUUCCACCAGACCAUGGUUCCUCAAACUCCGACACCCCAGAUGUUGCUGAACUACAACUCCCAUUAUUCUCUGGCUAGCUAUGUAAUUCAAAGAAUCAUGGGAGUUGUAGUUCAGCAACAUUUGGGGGGCCGGAGUUUGAGGACCCAUGCACCAGACUCACUGAGCAUGAUAGUAGUUUUAGUCCAGAAAUGGCCAGCAACUUUAUUUUUUUUUAACUGGGCCUCUGUACCUAGGUAGGUAAGACGUCAUAAACCAGAACUGUUUUUCUUUUAUCAUAAUACGUUUUUUUUUCAAUAAUCAGGAUGUUAAAGAGUUAAAUGGGUGUAACUCCCCAGCCAUGGACAGCAUAUCAAGGUAUCUGGGCUAGCAUGCUGUGUUUGCUGACUCCAGAUGCAAACAUUGCCCAAACUGAUAUUGCCAGCCUAGAAGAGAGUAUUACUGCUUGCUGGCUGACUGACUGACAGCCCUACACACACCAGAAAUAGAUUUAUAUUCAGAAUUAAACCAUUUUAAAAGAAAGGUUGCAGCAGGAGUAGGAUUACGUGGUUUUGGUUAUCAUCCCUAUCUUUAAUAUGUGUCAGGAUCCGUUAGCCAUAUACAUAAACCCUGGGUCAGACAGUGUUAGAAUGUAACAAGUAGUAAGUCUGAUGAUGUCACUGCACAGGGUGUGAAGCAGGGAAGACCGUAGAGACUAUAUACAGUAGAGGUUUUUAAACACUGUGUGACCCAAGGUGCGUGUAUAUUUCUGAGUGAUCUUGUCAUAGAUUAAUGAUAGGAAUGAUAACCAAUUCACAUUUUAUUGAAAAUCCCUGUUAACGUUUACGACCUGAAUACAUUCCCAAAGAUGCUUUAUGUUGGACUUAAAGGACCACUAUAGUGCCAGGAAAACAUACUCGUUUUCCUGGCACUAUAGUGCCCUGAGGGUGCCCCCACCCUCAGGGACCCCCUCCCG